UUUUCCUUUGUUUAGUGUUGCCUGUGUUGUGCCCGAAAGUGGUGUUGUAAAUUUUUUGUACGCUGUACCUGUAAUCAUUCAGUGACCGCCCUGUGCGUGUGUUGCCGCGUCAGGAAAGGAGUGUUGCGUCUCCAGGCACCUCCCGCCUCGCGCCUUCCUUCCUCCCGUCUCCCGGAGUGUACACACUUGCACUCUUGAGGCUGCUGGCGAGAAGAACUGUGUCCCAAGCCCUCCACCAUGGCCGCCGCUCCGAAAGUUUGCGUCCGUCGCGCGAAGCUCAUCUUCCUGAUGGAGAACGCAGGCAAGGACGUCUUGACCUUCGUGUUGAAGCGCGGCGCGCUGAACGCCCCCGCCACGCCGCCAGGCCAGUCCCUCAUUGACUACCUUGACAACCUCCCUCAAGGCUCGACAGCCAACUAUGGCAGGAUGAGUAACAAACAAAAGAAAGCAGCACUGAACCACAGUUCAGUGCUGCUUAUCCUCUGACGUGACUACUUUAUUCAUUAUUUUUU